GAUGAACGCUGGCGGCGUGCCUAAUACAUGCAAGUCGAGCGAAUGGAUUAAGAGCUUGCUCUUAUGAAGUUAGCGGCGGACGGGUGAGUAACACGUGGGUAACCUGCCCAUAAGACUGGGAUAACUCCGGGAAACCGGGGCUAAUACCGGAUAACAUUUUGAACCGCAUGGUUCGAAAUUGAAAGGCGGCUUCGGCUGUCACUUAUGGAUGGACCCGCGUCGCAUUAGCUAGUUGGUGAGGUAACGGCUCACCAAGGCAACGAUGCGUAGCCGACCGGAGAGGGUGAUCGGCCACACUGGGACUGAGACACGGCCCAGACUCCUACGGGAGGCAGCAGGAGGGAAUCUUCCGCAAUGGACGAAAGUCUGACGGAGCAACGCCGCGUGAGUGAUGAAGGCUUUCGGGACGUAAAACUCUGUUGUUAGGGAAGAACAAGUGCUAGUUGAAUAAGCUGGCACCUUGACGGUACCUAACCAGAAAGCCACGGCUAACUACGUGCCAGCCGCCGCAGUAA
rnacentral:rRNA from 1 species